rnacentral:rRNA from 1 species
UACGUAGGCAGCGAGCGUUGUUCGGAAUUACUGGGCGUAAAGAGUGUGUAGGCGGUGUUCCAAGUCUGGUGUGAAAUCUCCCGCUCAACUGGGAGGGUGCGCCGGAAACUGGAAUGCUAGAGGGUGGGAGAGGUAAGCGGAAUUCCUGGUGUAGCGGUGAAAUGCGUAGAUAUCAGGAGGAACACCUGUGGUGUAGACAGCUUUACUGGGACCACUUUCUGACGCUGAGACACGAAAAGCGUGGGUAGCAAACAGG